GAUGAACGCUGGCGGCGUGCCUAACACAUGCAAGUGGAGCGACGAACCCGGACUUGUCCGGGGGCAAAGCCGCGAACGGUUGAGUAACACGUGGGUUAUCUGCCCCAAUGACCGGGACAACUCGAGGAAACUCGAGCUAAUACCGGAUGUGCUCUUCGGAGGAAAGGAAGCUUCGGCCUCCGCAUUGGGAUGAGCCCGCGGCGCAUUAGCUAGUUGGUGAGGUAAUGGCUCACCAAGGCGACGAUGCGUAGCUGGUCUGAGAGGACGAUCAGCCACACUGGAACUGAGACACGGUCCAGACUCCUACGGGAGGCAGCAGUGGGGAAUCUUGCGCAAUGCACGAAAGUGUGACGCAGCAACGCCGCGUGCGGGAAGAAGGUCUUCGGAUCGUAAACCGCUCUCAGUUGGGACGAGGGUUACACGGUGAAUAGCCGGCGUAACUGACGGUACCUUCAGAAGAAGCCCCGGCUAACUACGUGCCAGCCGCCGCGGUAAGAC
rnacentral:rRNA from 1 species